AACACAUUCCCUCCGUCCGAAAAUACUUGUCGGAUGAAUUGAUAUAUUUAGAUGUAUUUUAGUUCUAGAUACAUUCAUUUUUAUGCAUUUCUCCAAUAAGUACUUCCGGACGGAGGGAGUAGAUU
rfam:Triticum aestivum genome assembly, contig: Triticum_aestivum_CS42_TGACv1_scaffold_225649_3B